CUGCUUCAGCAGCACAUAUACUAAAACUGGAAUGAUAUAGAGAAGAUUAGCAUGGCCCCUGUGUGAGGAUGACAUGCAAAUUUGUGAUGUGUUCCAUAUUCAA
ensembl:snRNA U6 U6 spliceosomal RNA